AUUCCAGCUCCAAUAGCGUAUAUUAAAGUUGUUGCAGUUAAAAAGCUCGUAGUUGGAUUUCUGUUUUGAAUUUCCGGUCCGUUCAAUGAAUGUGUACUUGGAAAUCUGAUUCAUUUAUUGUGAGGACCCUUAACUGGCAUUAAGUUGUCUGGUUUUGUGGACUUGCAUCGUUUACUGUGAAAAAAUUAGAGUGUUUAAAGCAGGCGUUCGCUUGAAUACAUUAGCAUGGAAUAAUAAGAUAAGACACUGGUGGUCUAUUUUGUUGGUUUGCACACCAGAGUAAUGAUUAAUAGGGACAGUUGGGGGUAUUCGUAUUCCUGUGGAAGAGGUGAAAUUCUUGGAUCACAGGAAGACGAUCUUAGGCGAAAGCAUUUACCAUGGAUGUUUUCAUUA
rnacentral:rRNA from 1 species